CAGCCCCAGGACUCCCACGUGUCCACUCAGUGAUCGCACUGAACACAGACGCUCACCAUGGAGAUUGGGCUGCGCUGGGUUCUCCUGGUCGCUGUGCUCAAAGGUGUCCAGUGUCAGGAGCAGCUGGUGGAGUCCGGAGGAGGCCUGGUCAAGCCUGGGGGAUCCCUGAAACUCUCCUGCAAAGGCUCUGGGUUAGACUUCAGUAGCUAUGCAAUGUGCUGGGUCCGCCAGGCUCCAGGGAAGGGGCUGGAGUGGAUCGGAUGCAUUAUUUAUGGUAGCACAGACUACGCGAGCUGGGUGAAUGGCCGAUUCACCAUCUCCAGCGACAACGCCCAGAACACGGUGGAUCUGCAAAUGACCGGUCUGACAGCCGCAGACACGGCCACCUAUUUCUGUGCGAGAGACACAGUGAGGGGCCCUCAGGCUGAGCCCAGACACAAACCUCCCUGCAGGGGCGCGCGGCUCCACCAGGGGGCGCACAAACACACUGAGCAGAUGCAGAUCCACGACCAGAUCCAGUGGAGAGGAAGCCCUGGUUUCCUGUCAGGGAAUUGGGGUUUCCUCUCCUGUAAGAGUUUUGAGGGAGGAGUUCUACUUUUAUGUAUCUGUCCCUUCCACUGA